rnacentral:rRNA from 1 species
GAGAGGACCGGGACGGACGUACCUCUAGUGUGCCAGUUGUCACGCCAGUGGCAGGGCUGGUUGGCUACGUACGGGAGGGAUAACCGCUGAAAGCAUCUAAGCGGGAAGCCUGUUUUGAGAUGAGGUUUCUUUUGAGGUUCCCUCUAGACUAGGGGGUUGAUAGGCCAGAUCUGGAAGCGUAGUAAUGCGUUAAGGUGACUGGUACUAAUUUUACCGAGUAAUAACA